rnacentral:lncRNA from 1 species
GAAAUAUAGGAUGCAUCAUAAAAUAAACACAUAAAUGAACCCUUAAAUAUCAAUUUCAUUCCUUGAUUCUGUUUAAUGAAGAUUACCCACAUAGUAGCAGCUAUUAAACACAAUGGAUAUAAUUAUACAGAGAAUAAACUUAUCAUAUGCAAUUCAUGGUUUUCCAUAGUUCAGCAUCCAAAUCACAUUCUACAAAAUCUUCUUUUGCUUUCACUAAGUCUCUUCUUGUAAUUUCUAGAUUAACCUCUGCUUCAAUCCUCUUUGUUCUCAAAGUUUUCUCUUCCAUCUCUAAAAUAGCCACGUUCUUUUCCAAAGUAGUCACAUUCUCCUCCAACCUUUUUGCAGCAAGAACUUUCUCAACACAAGUUUUCAUGCCCAAAGCAGAUUGUACAUGAGGUUUCAACCAUGACAAUUCAAAUCCACAUGUCUCAAGUUCCUCCCAUAAAGUUUGGAGAUGAUUACAAGCAUCAUCGUCCAUGUCUCUAACUUUUUUAGUG